UAAGAUCUUAAGCUGAAUUCUCAUCCCCAUUGCCUGCCUUUUUUUCUUUUUUUUUUAAAAGACAUGGUUUUGUGUAUCCGAGACUCGCCUCAAAUUUCUAUAGAAUUAAGGAUGACCUUGAACUUCUUAGCCUCCAGUCUCCACCUCCUGGAUGCAGUUAUCAUGGGCAGUAUCACAACACUGAGUAUGUAGGGCUGGGUAUCAAACCCAGGGUGGUCUCCUGAAUAGUAGGCAAGUACUUUACCCAGCAAGCCUGAUCCACAGCCCUAGCCUCCAGUUUAAAGACUAUUUUAGUAUUUUUAUGGGGUAUCUUGCCUGUUUGUAUAUCUGUGUGCCAUGUACAUACAGGGUCCACUGAAGUCAGAAGAGGGCAUUGGAGACCCUAGAACUAGAGUUAGAGACAGUUGCUGAGCUGCCAUGUGGGUGGUAGGAAUUGAACCUGGGUCCUCUGGAAGAGCAGCAAGUGCUCUUAACCAACUAUCUAUCGCUUGCCUCUAGCCACAGGUUUUAUGUUGCAGAUCCAAGAGUGGGAAUAUUUGGAAACAAGUCAGGGAUGGCAGUGCAUGCCCGAAAUCCCAGCACUGGGGAGGCCGGAAAUCUGAAAAGGCCAGGUGUACACACAUACGUGUAGUCUUGCUUCAGGAAGCUGAGACAGGAAGAUGGUUGCGUUCUAGGCCAGACACAGGUAGACAGUGUGAGCCUGCUGUAAAAAGUCUCAAAACAACCGGGAAAAAGAAGCUGUGUGUGGGAGAACUCAUCUGUUGUCCCAGGCCUUCACAGGUAGAUCCGGGCUACAGAGACCUAAAACCUGCCCUUGGGACUCGGAGCAUGUUCUCCUCCACCCACCCCCCAACUCUCUGGCAGGUCAGGUGGCUGAGAUUGUCUUGUAGUUCCAGAGGGGGAUGCUGUCUGGCAUGUGACUAGGGAGCCUUGUUGGGACCUCCUUGGGGGGAAGGGCCUCCAAGAGCACCAAGAAGCACGUACAGUCACCUCGCUAAAGAAUAUUCAUUUAUUUAUAAUUAUUGCUAAGUAAACUUCUCUUUUUAAACAGGAACAUAAAAACACAGUAGGGCUCUGCACAAGAGGAAUCUCUAAACAGUUGGUUUGUAUACAUGUCAAAAUAAGUUAGAGUGGAAUUCGGCCAGGGCUUCUGAGUCACCCUUUUCAGAAGCCUGGGAGGGGUGAGGCUGGAGCUGUGCCAGGACCACCUCCAGCUCCAACUGUGUACUGUGCUGUGCCUUCCUCUCCGCUUUGCCCGGCACAAGGCGAGGGCAGGGGCUUUUUCAGUAUGGCAUCCCCAAGGGGGUUGUGCCAAUGGCAGGCUGGGGGACAGUGGGAGACCCCACCCAGGCCAGACUUCUCCCUUCUGUUCCAAGACCAAGGCCACUGCGUUGGCAGGAGAGGAGGAGGAGGAAGAGAAGAAGGAGGAGGUACAGGGUGCUUUUUGGUACCAGGGAGAAAGUCAUUGUGGGAAGAGGUAGUUUGCAGGGGUGAUGCCUUCUGCUCAGCAGGAGAAAUAAAUGUCUUGUACAGUGAUAGCUAAUCACUGCCACCUGAGGGUCAUCAUGAUGGGCACCUGGGAGGCCGGGAGCCAUGGGAAACCACACCUGGGCCACUGUGUCCCCCUCAUCCCCAGUCCUGAACAGUCACCCUGAGGCCUGGCUUGGGGGCUGUCACACUGCGAAUCAACACCCUCUGCCUCAGCUGGUCUCCCCCUCUUGGUUUUUCAGCCAAAGCUGGUGGCUUCAUCUAUGCCUUUUUGGGGUUAGUCCCGCCUGCUCCUCCCCUUGGGGGCCUUGGGAUUUGUGGGCAGGGGUUUGGGUGCUUGCGAGCUUAUGGAUGGAGGACAGGGGGGAGGGGAGGGGACAGGUGAAGAGGGCCAGCUGACUGGAGAGGGCCGGGUAGGUUCUCUGCCUCCCCCACUUCCCUCCUGCCUUAGCCUUCUGAGGCUCCCAGCUAGUGAUACACCUGGGCCAGGGCCCCUCAGGCAUGGCUGCUUUCGGAAAGGGAGGCAGGAAGUACACACAGCACACAAGAAAGCUGAGGCUUGGACGAACCAAAAACCAAAAAAAAAAAAAAAAACCCAAAACAAACCAAUAGAAACAGAAACC
rnacentral:lncRNA from 1 species